UCUGUGGGGCAAAGUUGAGGUCGGAGGAGAAGGAAUGUUAAUUCUCACAUGAGGGAAAGGGCAAAGUGAUGGACUUCACAGAGAGAAAGUCAUGCAAAUGACAAGAAGCUUUCUGAACGAAACCUGCAGGGGAGGUACAGAACAGCCUGACAUCGUCUUAGGUUGGAAGAGCAGUAGUAAGAAGGGGAAUAACGCGGGCUGAAGAUGAAAGAAGAGAAGUAGAGCAAGGUGACUGGGGUUUGGAACUUGGGUGGGAGCAGUGUGUUUGGCUGUUUUGUCAGGGAGAUUGUUUUGGGCUAUAUGGCUUGAUGAGACAGGAAGUGGAGGACAGCUAUUAAUGGCAGGUUGGGUGUAUUUAUGGGAGUUUUUAUGUGGCCUCCGUUAAUGAUGAGUGAUUCUGUGUAAUGAGAAGCUAGGAGGGAGCUAGGAUAAGUGUUCGGGUUAGGGCUGUGAAAUUUGUCUGUUGUGAGGUGAUUUUGAGGGGAGUGAUAAGAGUCUCAAUUGCAUGUCUAAUGCAGGAGAGGAUAUUAUGUGUCUGCAGCUAGAGACAAUAGCAUAUGUCACCUAGUGCCUACUAGGAAUUUGGAAAGUGCUUUUAUCUAUGAACCAGGUUUUGGCUGACUAUGUGUUGGUGUUUCUGUGCACAUUGGCAAAGUGUCUGAGAACAUGAUUGUGUUGUCUGAAGGCAGUUGUGAAUAUCCUGAGCUAGACAAGGCAUAAGGGUAUAUGAGUUGUUUUGGAGGUCUUAUAAAGUGGUCUGGCUAUGAGGUCAAAGUUAGGAACCUAGAGAUGAGUUUGUAGGGAAAUAUUGUCUGGAGAGGAAAUGAUUGGAUGAGAGCUUUGUGAUCAGUAGUGAUGGGCCACUACAUGGGAUAAAGUGGAGCCCUAGGUAUUGAAUAGUAGUCUAGGUUAAUUGUAAAAAGAAAGGAGAGCGGUGUCUGAGUGAUAAUCUUAUGGAGAUUAAAAUAUUAUCAACAUAUUGGAGCAUUUGAGAGGUGGAAUCUUGUCAAGAUAGUGGCUGAGACCCUGACUGAAUAAGUGGGGCAGUUAAGCCUUUGGGGGAAGACUGUCUAGGUACACAGCUCAAGAGGCGUUGGUCUAAGUGAAGGUUUUGGUACUGGAUGUUAGUUCAAGUUAAUUGAGCUGGAUUACUAUAGAUAGGAUUAGGGAGGGUUAAUGGAAUAGGCUUAGGUGAAGUGAGGUGAGGGUAAGUGACAUUGGGGUAGCAAGAAUAGCUGAAUAUGCGGCCAUAGCAAUGGCUAACAUUCUACUGUGGCUGCAGUGUGUCCUAGGUGGUGGGGAGGGUAUAUCAUGUCCCUGGACUCAGAAGGAUGGGAACAGCCAUUUUAGAAACUCUGCUGGGUGGCCGUGGUAGAUGGGGGCCACCAGAUCUAUUAUUAUAGAUGGCUACAUUAGUUAGAAAUAUUAUAGGCAGUCAAGUAGAGCUAGCCCCUGAAAGAAGUCAGUGAAGAUAAGAACACAUUUCAACUGUGGCUGGAGGCACAUUCAAUGAAGGUCAGACCUCAGGAUAAAGGAAACUACUAUACCUACAUACUUCUGAGAGAUGAGCAACAAUGCCUGAUAUUCUAAAUAGCAUCGAUUACCUUGGGUAUGGGACCAAAACCUCCUUGUCCCAUACCUUCCAGGAAAAGUCCUUGUUUAUUGCAUGUAUACUUGCUAUCUGAUUUGCUUCCCCAUUUGACCAGUAUUACCUAAGUAACUUUACUUGUAACCUUAUUGGUCCAUCAUAGUUUUGUCCCACAUUAUACUCACUUUGUGAUUUUCCACUGAAUUAAUAUUACCUAAGCAAUCAGUAGUCUUGUUAGUUGACCAUAGUUUUGUCUCAUCAUAUAACUGCCUCAUAAUUUUUCUCUAAGUAACUUCCUUGAGAAGUGGAGUCCCUAGCAACCCUCUUUCUAGUCCUUUUCUGUCUUUCUUUCAAUAAAUGUUUCCUACUGUUAACCUCUGUUGUUCCUUAGAAUUUAUUCUUCAUUUUUGGGGAACACAAACUCAAGGUAUUGGAUGUCCAGCAGGUUGGGAGUUAUAAUAUUUCCCUCAUAUGAUUUGAAUUAUUUGGAAGUCCAAAUCAUCACUAUAUCACUAUCAUUGCCCAUUAGUAUUGCUGUUGACUUGGAGGUAGAGGGAGCACAGUUUAAAGGUGAAAAAAAUAUAUAGGUUCAAGCCUGAAUUUACAGGCAUAUUGUCUUUAAGACCAUUAGAAUUUUAUUGAGUGAUUUCCUGAAAGGAAAAAAGACUUGAGUAAAUUUGUGUCUUAAAACUACAGUUGAAUCACAAUUUUAAAAUCUGGUUUCCCUUAUCUCCUUUUUACCUAGUUUUUAUUUCUUCCAUUAUGCCUCAUUGACCACUGCUCAGAACACAGAGAAAGAGCAGCUAAACCAAAGUCAGGCCAGUUAAUCUAAACCACAGCUGAGCAGCUGCCUCUUGCCAACAGCUACUGGACCACCCAAACCUUAUAGGCUGCAAGCCCAGAAGUCUGUACUUCUCCAACCUCAGCUUUGGAGAUUUGAGUAUGUAGCUUUGGCUUUUUUUUUUUUUUUUCUUUUAAUGGUUGUCUUUUUGAAACAGGGUCUCGCUAUGCAGUUCAGGCUGGCCUUGAGCUCACUUUGUAGCCCCGGCUGGUCUGGGACUUGCAGUGAUCUUCCUACCUCAGUUCCCAAGUGCUGAGAUUACAGGCCUGCUUUGGCUUUUUGAGUUUUAGCCAAAUUAGCACUACAAAAUUGAACUUUAAGUUAGAUGUUUUUUAUUUUUUUGUUGUUUUUUUUUUCCCCUUUGGAGCUAGUGGCUUCUUGAGGCCUACAACAUAACCAUCUUCCCCCACCUCCUGUUAGCUUAGAUGAAUGAAAAGAAUAUUCAGAUGCCAACAUCAGGAGGGAUGGAGCUCAGUUUCCUUUCCACAGUAUCAGGUUCUAUCCUAGAUCCCCGAUCUCCCAAACGAGUGUACAGUGGAGGUUAAAUAAGAAGAGACAAAUUGUAUACAUUUUUAGGGCUCCAGGAGGGUCAAAACCCUUUAAUUAAGCUCGAGACUUUGAGGGUUAAGACAAAGGAUUCUCUGGAUCAGUCCACUUAUAUUAAGACCAAGGACAAAGGGCAGAGAAACUGAGGAAAGUGCAGGCAAUGAGCAGGACCUUGGGAGUCACUUCAAAGACAUCUCCACGUCAUGAAUCAAGUCAAUUACUAGAACUGUCUUAUCAUGAAGACAUGGUAGAAAUGAAACUGCAAGAGUAACCUUUGCAGCUGCAGUCUCUACACUGUUAAUUGGGGUUGGAGCCAGAGUGUCCGCAGCUGUGGCCUUAUCUUGCCGUUUGAGGUAUCUCUGGCCCCACAGGCCACUACAGGCCUCAGCCAGGACCAGUGACUCCUAGAGGUUCCCUUACUAUGAAUCAGCUCCCAUCACCAGGCAAGGGACCAAGGCCUAGGACAGACUCACAGAUGAAUAUAGAAAGCCAAUUAGUAAAAUUUAAAUCCUGCUCAGAGCCGCUUCAUAGUGGUCUCCAACACCACAGAAAAGGGGACAUUGAACUGAAGGUGACUGGAGAUGAUAAAACAAGUGUGAAGAUCUGCAGUAUCUCUCUGUGCUUCCUCAUACUCUAUCCCUUACUAUAAAACUUUCUUGCCUGCCUGUAACCAGAAAGAUGGUCACUUGAGGCAAGUAGACCCUUUUGUCUCCUCAGAGCUAACUUUCAAUAAAUACUGUUUCUUUUUUUACCCAA